rnacentral:rRNA from 1 species
UGGGGAAUAUUGGACAAUGGGGGCAACCCUGAUCCAGCAAUGCCGCGUGUGUGAAGAAGGCCUGAGGGUUGUAAAGCACUUUCAGUGGGGAGGAGGAUUGAGAGGUUAAGAGCCACUUUAAUCGGACGCUACCCACAGAAGAAGCACCGGCUAACUCCGUGCCAGCAGCCGCGGUAAUACGGAGGGUGCGAGCGUUAAUCGGAAUUACUGGGCGUAAAGGGUUCGUAGGUGGUUAACCAAGUUAUCUGUGAAAUCCCUGGGCUUAACCUGGGAAGGUCAGAUAAAACUGGGGGACUCGAGUAUUGGAGAGGGUAGUGGAAUUUCCGGUGUAGCGGUGAAAUGCGUAGAGAUCGGAAGGAACACCAGUGGCGAAGGCGGUUACCUGGCCACAUACUGACACUGAGGAACGAAAGCGUGGGGAGCAAACAG